UUCCCAGACUCCUACGGGAGGCAGCAGUGAGGAAUAUUGGUCAAUGGGCUUACGCCUGAACCAGCCAAGUCGCGUGAGGGAAGACUGCCCUAUGGGUUGUAAACCUCUUUUGUCAGGGAGCAAUUGGCGCUACGUGUAGCGUUAUCGAGAGUACCUGAAGAAAAAGCAUCGGCUAACUCCGUGCCAGCAGCCGCGGUAAUACGGAGGAUGCGAGCGUUAUCCGGAUUUAUUGGGUUUAAAGGGUGCGUAGGCGGAGUGCCAAGUCAGCGGUAAAAUCGCGGGGCUCAACCUCGCUCCGCCGUUGAAACUGGCGUUCUUGAGUGGGCGAGAAGUAUGCGGAAUGCGUGGUGUAGCGGUGAAAUGCUUAGAUAUCACGAAGAACCCCGAUUGCGAAGGCAGCUUACUAAACUGUGACUGACAUUGAUGCUCGAAAGUGUGGGUAUCAAACAGGAUUAGAUACCCUGGUAC
rnacentral:rRNA from 1 species